CCCCUCUCAGGGUCACACCUGGAGAGUUUCCAAUACUCCACCAGUCUCGACUACGGGAGGGAGGAUCAAGCAGAGGCCUAUCCAUUCCAUUCCUAGCUUGGCCAGUGGCUAGCAAAUGGAAGGCCAUCUGCUACAAAU
rnacentral:snoRNA from 1 species